CUUGGUCAUUUAGAGGAAGUAAAAGUCGUAACAAGGUUUCCGUAGGUGAACCUGCGGAAGGAUCAUUCAUAAUAAGUGUUUUAUGGCACUUUUUUAAAUCCAUAUCCACCUUGUGUGCAAUGUCAGGGUUGGUCUCUUUUGAUCAGCCCCAAACAUCAACUAUUAUCUCAACUCUUUGUCUGAAAAAUAUUAUGAAUAAAACAAUUCAAAAUACAACUUUCAACAACGGAUCUCUUGGCUCUCGCAUCGAUGAAGAACGCAGCGAAAUGCGAUACGUAAUGUGAAUUGCAGAAUUCAGUGAAUCAUCGAAUCUUUGAACGCAUAUUGCGCUCUUUGGUAUUCCGAAGAGCAUGCUUGUUUGAGUAUCAGUAAACACCUCAAAGCCUUUUUUUUUGUUAAAAAGGAUUUGGACUUGAGCAAUCCCAACAUUUUUCUUUUAAGUAAAGUGGCGGGUUGCUUGAAAUGCAGGUGCAGCUGGACAUUCUCCUGAGCUAAAAGCAUAUUCAUUUAGUCCCGUCAAACGGAUUAUUACUUUUGCUGCAGCUAAUAUAAAGGGAGUUUGACCAUUUUGGCUGACUGAUGCAGGAUUUUCACUAGAGUACUUCAAAACCACUCUUGUUAAACUCGAUCUCAAAUCAAGUAAGACUACCCGCUGAACUUAAGCAUAUCAAUAAGCGGAGGAA
rnacentral:rRNA from 1 species